rnacentral:rRNA from 1 species
AGAGUUUGAUCCUGGCUCAGGAUGAACGCUAGCUACAGGCUUAACACAUGCAAGUCGAGGGGCAGCGUGGGGUAGCAAUACUCCCACGGACACCGGCGAAUGGGUGAGUAACACGUAUCCAACCUACCUCUGGCUCAGGGAUAGCCCUUAAAAAAGAUGAUUAAUACCUGAUGGUGUCGCAUGAUCUCAUGACAGCGCGACUAAAGAUUCAUCGGCGAGGGAUGGGGAUGCAUCUGAUUAGUUAGUUGGCGGGGUAACGGCCCACCAAGACGACGAUCAGUAGGGGUUCUGAGAGGAAGGUCCCCCUCAUUGGUACUGACACACCGACCACACUCCUACGGGAGGCAGCAGUGAUGAAUAUUGGUCAAUGGGCGCAAGCCUGAACCAUCCAAGUAGCGUGAAGGAUGACCGCCCUAUGGGUUGUAAACUUCUUUUGUCGGGGGAUAAAGCGGGCCACGUGUGGCCCUUUGCACGUACCCGAUGAAUAACGACCGGCUAAUUCCGUGCCAGCAGCCGCGGUAAUACGAAGGGUCGGAGGGGUUUUCCGGAUUUUUUGGGUUUAAAGGGGGGGGGGGGGGUUGGUAAUUCAACCGGAAAAUCCGGGGGGCUCAAUCUCCUUCCAGCGGCUUGAUAUUUUCUUUCUUGAGUGCACAAGAGGCAGGUGGAGUACGAGGAGUAGCGGUGAAAUACUCAGAUAUCUCGAUGAGCUCCGAGUGCGAAGGCAGCUCUCUGGGGUGCAUCUGACACUGAGGGUCGAAGGUGCGGGUAUCAUCACACGAUUAGAUACCCUGGUAGUCCGCACAGCAAACUAUGGAUGCUCGCCAUGCCAGGACUAGAUUCUACCUCCGCGUCGCGAAAGCGUUAAGCAUCCCACCUGGGGGAGUGCGCCGGCACCGGAGAAACUCAAAGGAAAAGACGGGGGCCCGCACACGCGGAGGAACACGUGGUUUAAUUUGAUGAUACGCGAGGAGCCCUACCCCGGCGCGAAAGGCAGUCGACGGAGCUCAGAGACGAGCUCUUCCUUCGGGCGGCUGUGUAGGUGCGGCACGGUGGUGUUCAGCUCGUGCCUCGAGGGGUCGGGGUAAGAGCCACAACGAGCGCAACCCCCAUCGUUGGUUACCAUCGCGUAAAGCCGGGGACUCCAGCGACACUGCCAUCGCAAGAUGUGAGGAAGGCGGGGAUGACGUCAAAUCAGCACGGCCCUUACGUCCGGGGCGACACACGUGUUACAAUGGGGGGCACAGAAAGAAGGUCGGUGGCGACACAGGCCGAAUCCUCAAAUCCCCUCCCAGUUCGGACUGGAGUCUGCAACCCGACUCCACGAAGCUGGAUUCGCUAGUAAUCGCGCAUCAGCCAUGGCGCGGUGAAUACGUUCCCGGGCCUUGCACACACCGCCCGUCA